UACGUAGGGUGCAAGCGUUAAUCGGAAUUACUGGGCGUAAAGCGUGCGCAGGCGGUUUUGUAAGUCUGUCGUGAAAGCCCCGGGCUCAACCUGGGAAUUGCGAUGGAGACUGCAAGGCUUGAAUCUGGCAGAGGGGGGUAGAAUUCCACGUGUAGCAGUGAAAUGCGUAGAGAUGUGGAGGAACACCGAUGGCGAAGGCAGCCCCCUGGGUCAAGAUUGACGCUCAUGCACGAAAGCCUGGGGAGCAAACAGG
rnacentral:rRNA from 1 species